rnacentral:lncRNA from 1 species
UCUAGGUACAACGUGAAAGCAGAACCUUAAUGCAGCAAAAGGCCCAAGCAGCUCCUCAGGAUUUGGUGGUGUAGAGUGCAUUAGCCAAGGGGAUGAGUUGGAACAGGCAAAGUUGCCCUGCAUUCUCCUCCACCACGUAUGACCUUGGUCCUUCAAGAGAUAGGAGCAGGGCAGCCUCAGGGAUGAAUGAAUACACAUGAGGGAGCAAAGACAAGGCAGGCGAUCGAGCCGGAAGGAAUUGGUAGCAAAGAAGGGAUUGACACUGACACUGAUGGGAAGGAGAUACUGCCGCGGUUUGCCCAAAAAUGAGACAGAACAUUUUCUUUCCUCCCGAG